rnacentral:tRNA from 1 species
GGGAUCAUAGCUCAGUUGGUUCAGAGCAUCUGCCUUACAAGCAGAGGGUCGGGGGUUCGAAUCCCUCUGAUCCCA